CAUGCUGAUAGAAAGUUGGUGGAGAAAGGUUCUUGAGGGGGCGUGUGUGACGAAUGCUAGAUGAGGGGCUAAGGCCUAAUUGGGCUGGGGGUAUUGAAGAAUUGUUCAUCAUGUCAGAGUCUUUUUUCAGAAACAAACAGGUUUCAAACUUGCCAUUGACUUGUACUCAUAAUGGCAUUCAAGGAACAAUAUCAGAGGGAGUAUAACAACUCCAGAAAGCAUAGCGCACAACAUAAUCUUGGUCUCAGGUACGUAUGAUCCUCUCAAUCUACG